rnacentral:rRNA from 2 species
GAGUUUGAUCAUGGCUCAGGACGAACGCUGGCGGCGUGCUUAACACAUGCAAGUCAAGGGGGCCCGCAAGGGUAACCGGCGAACGGGUGCGUAACACGUGAGCAAUCUGCCUAGAUGUGGGGGAUAGCCGGCCCAACGGCCGGGUAAUACCGCAUACGCUCACUGGGUGGCAUCACCUGGUGAGGAAACAUUCGUGGCAUCUAGAGGAGCUCGCGGCCUAUCAGCUAGUUGGUGGGGUAACGGCCUACCAAGGCUUUGACGGGUAGCUGGUCUGAGAGGAUGGCCAGCCACAUUGGGACUGAGAUACGGCCCAGACUCCUACGGGAGGCAGCAGUGGGGAAUAUUGCGCAAUGGCCGAAAGGCUGACGCAGCGACGCCGCGUGGGGGAUGAAGCAUUUCGGUGUGUAAACCCCUGUUGCUCGGGACGAACAACUGGUUUCGACCAGUCUGACGGUACCGGGUGAGGAAGCACCGGCUAACUCCGUGCCAGCCG